UGUGGAUUCCCGAUGUCCCGGUACUUGUGCAGGACCACUUGGUGUGCCUCACCCGAUGGAACACCCAGCAUCACUUCUCAGAGGCUAUUCAUCACCGCCACCCCCACCUCUGUUGUGGCCUAUGUGGUCUCACCCACCGCCACCACCACCACCACCAGUUACAGCACUCGCACAGUCCAUUUGCCACAUGAAGGGGCCCCUCAGCUGUGGCAAUGAUGUGUUUAGAGAAGAUGUCAGAGGUGCAUUACGGCCCGAAUGUUUCCCUGCUCCAACCUGCCCCCUCUGCUGUUCUCUCCUAUUGUCACCCCUAAUGAAAUUGUCACAGUUC